GACGAACGCUGGCGGCGUGCUUAACACAUGCAAGUCGAACGACAAAGACGAGAUACGGGAACUUCGGUUCAAAUUUCACGUCGGAGUAGUAGGAGACGGGUGAGUAACGCAUUAGCAGCCUACCUCUUACAAAGGGAUCGCAUCGGGAAACGGAGAUUAAGACCAUAUGACACAUUCAUAAGGCAUCUUAAGAAGGUUAAGGCUACGGCGGUAAUGGGUGGGCUCGCGUGCCAUUAGCUAGUUGGUGAGGUAACGGCCCACCAAGGCGAGGAUGGGUGACCUGCGUGAGAGGCCGAACAGUUUCGUUGGGACUGACGCACCGGCCACACUCCUGCGGGAGGCAGCAGUAGGGAAUAUUACACAACGGAGGGAUGUCUGAUGAACCCACGCCGCGUGAGCGAGGCAGGCAUGCGGUUCGUAAAUUUCGCCUCUAUGGGAAGAAAAGGACCGUUCCUGAGGAGAGAGCCCCGGCUAAAUUCGUG
rnacentral:rRNA from 1 species